rnacentral:rRNA from 1 species
CCCUUAGAUGUUCUGGGCUGCACGCGCGCUACACUGAUGCGCUCAACGAGUUUACGAACUUGCCCGGAAGGGUUGGUUAAUCUUUUUAAAACGCAUCGUGAUGGGGAUAGAUUAUUGCAAUUAUUAAUCUUCAACGAGGAAUUCCUAGUAAGCGCGAGUCAUCAGCUUGCGUUGAUUACGUCCCUGCCCUUUGUACACACCGCCCGUCGCUCCUACCGAUUGAAUGGUCCGGUGAAGCGCUCGGACCGCGGCCUCUUGACGGUUUUCCGUCGAUUGGCUGUGGGAAGUUCGUUAAACCUUAUCAUUUAGAGGAAGGAGAAGUCGUAACA